GACGAACGCUGGCGGCGUGCUUAACACAUGCAAGUCGAACGAAGAGCGAUGGAAGCUUGCUUCUCUCAAUCUUAGUGGCGAACGGGUGAGUAACGCGUAAUCAACCUGCCCUUCAGAGGGGGACAACAGUUGGAAACGACUGCUAAUACCGCAUACGAUCUAAUCUCGGCAUCGAGGAUAGAUGAAAGGUGGCCUCUACAUGUAAGCUAUCACUGAAGGGGGGGAUUGCGUCUGAUUAGCUAGUUGGAGGGGUAACGGCCCACCAAGGCGAUGAUCAGUAGCCGGUCUGGAGGGAUGAACGGCCACAUUGGGACUGAGACACGGCCCAGACUCCUACGGGAGGCAGCAGUGGGGAAUCUUCCGCAAUGGACGAAAGUCUGACGGAGCAACGCCGCGUGAGUGAUGACGGCCUUCGGGUUGUAAAGCUCUGUUAAUCGGGACGAAAGGCCUUCUUGCGAAUAGUGAGAAGGAUUGACGGUACCGGAAUAGAAAGCCACGGCUAACUACGUG
rnacentral:rRNA from 1 species